rnacentral:rRNA from 1 species
AAUGAACGCUGGCGGCAGGCCUAACACAUGCAAGUCGAACGGAUCCUUCGGGAUUAGUGGCGGACGGGUGAGUAACGCGUGGGAACAUACCCUUUGGUACGGAAUAGCCUCGGGAAACUGGGAGUAAUACCGUAUGUGGUCGAGAGACGAAAGAUUUAUCGCCAAAGGAUUGGCCCGCGUUGGAUUAGGUAGUUGGUGGGGUAAUGGCCUACCAAGCCGACGAUCCGUAGCUGGUUUGAGAGGAUGAUCAGCCACACUGGGACUGAGACACGGCCCAGACUCCUACGGGAGGCAGCAGUGGGGAAUCUUAGACAAUGGGGGAAACCCUGAUCUAGCCAUGCCGCGUGAUCGAUGAAGGCCUUAGGGUUGUAAAGAUCUUUCAGGUGGGAAGAUAACGACUGUGCCACCAGAAGAAGCCCCGGCUAACUCCGUGCCAGCCGCCGCAGUAA